UUAUAACAAUUUUUUCUACGAUACAACAUUUUCGUUUAUUUAUCUGCAUGUACAGACGACUGAAAACAGACUCCGUAAGUGACGGCUAAUUAACUGCCGGCCAAGUCAGCUUAGCCUCCGUUUAAGCAAAACAGUUCAGUUGGAGUACAAAAUCGAAACUGGAGCAGUAAGGUUGAUACAAAUCUGUCAGUCUUUUCAAGACAUUCUCUAUCAGUCUGAUACAUUCAGGGAGAUACAUAAUCACAAUAAACAGAAUUGGUUCAAGUCGAAUCCCGUGUCAAACUGAUCUCGUUCUAAAUUUUGUUGUUUUGUGCGUGACGAAGCUAAUGGGCGGCUGGAUGCCUGCAUGCCGGGUGUAUUUUCACUCACCAAAAGAAGAUUGUCCCACCAGCAUCGUCUGACCAAACAGACGCCGCCUGCAAUUCAUCGGCGCUUCUCGCUCUCGGAUGAAAUGAUGAAAUGUGAUCUUAUAGUCUGUGUGACUUUUUUCUCCAACGAUGGGUUAUGCUGUGUUUCGGCUGGCGGGUAUUCCGCGUCCGAUGGAUC
rnacentral:lncRNA from 1 species